AUUGAACGCUGGCGGCAGGCCUAACACAUGCAAGUCGAGCGGAUGAAGGGAGCUUGCUCCUGGAUUCAGCGGCGGACGGGUGAGUAAUGCCUAGGAAUCUGCCUGGGAGUGGGGGAUAACGUCCGGAAACGGGCGCUAAUACCGCAUACGUCCUGAGGGAGAAAGUGGGGGAUCUUCGGACCUCACGCUAUCAGAUGAGCCUAGGUCGGAUUAGCUAGUUGGGGGGUAAAGGCCUACCAAGGCGACGAUCCGUAACUGGUCUGAGAGGAUGAUCAGUCACACUGGAACUGAGACACGGUCCAGACUCCUACGGGAGGCAGCAGUGGGGAAUAUUGGACAAUGGGCGAAAGCCUGAUCCAGCCAUGCCGCGUGUGUGAAGAAGGUCUUCGGAUUGUAAAGCACUUUAAGUUGGGAGGAAGGGCAGUAAGUUAAUACCUUGCUGUUUUGACGUUACCAACAGAAUAAGCACCGGCUAACUUCGUG
rnacentral:rRNA from 1 species